AGAAUGGAUAAUGUUUUUUUCAGGGUGAAAGAGAAAUAUCAUUAUCAACAAGUAAGAGAAGCAGGAGCCGAACCCUGCUUCCAAAGCUUUAUCAUAGCAAAUCCCGUUACUGCACAAACCAUGGAAGCGAGGCUGAGUACUAGCAAGAUUACACACAAAACUGAAAUCUAAAAGUUUAUACUGAUCUUUCUAUUCAAUGCAUUACAGAUACAUAUUUCACAGUACAUUCUCAUAUAUCAUGUCUGUAUCAAUAUUGCUGAUAAAUCAGACAUACAGAAUUCAACUAUAUGUGGGAUCAUCGACAAGACUCCAACUGGAAGUAAAUUUGCAAUUCUCCCCUCCGAUGGAAGAAAUUCAACACAAGACUCUCCCUUUGAGCUUCGACAAGAUAUACACUCUUCACAAUUCUGGCUGCAGCCAAGGUGGCUCCUCUCGGAAUGCUGACGACUAUUGAUCUGAAAAAUGAUCGCCUCUGACCUGCCAAAUAAGAGAGUUGGUCAAAAGCUUUGAUAAAAAAAAAAAAAGGUAUUCUAAACGAGUCUCAGCUACCAUAAAUCCCAAAGUCUUCGCAACCUAGGUUGUGCAUGAGGCAGGGUAGGAAAUUUUUUAUGAAACCAAACAAAAAGCAUGGAACAAUUUUAAUCUGUUCAGUUUAAUCCAAUCCUCACACACGGAAAAAGAAACAAGAUCGCAUCCAAGAACCAUAGAUGAAAACAUAUCCGAGAAUUAUAAAUGAAGAGGUGGUCAGACAUGAGAUAUUGGAGGAAAUUAAACAGUAAGAAGAGAACAAAGCAAUCUUGUUUAAUUCCCUCCAAUCCUCACAUUCGGCCAAGACAUGAUAUUCGUUUAGUUGCAUGGAGAAGAAUCAAGUAAAAGAAACUAAACAAAAACGGGCACCAAAACAAACAGUGACAUCUCUUUAGUUCCCUCCAAUUUUCACACACAACAUACACUCUUGACUUUGAGGCUUCAACAGGCUUUGCCUUUACCACAGGCUUUGUCUCGAACCAACCACAGGAUAUUUAUAGACUCUCUAAACUCCAAAGGAACAAGACAAACUAACUUCACAAUUUUCACACGAGCAUGAUUCGCAUGCUCAAAAGCAGUUACAAAUACUGUGUGCAUGUUUGUACGGUUCAGAGCAUUUGAAUUCUCCCUGUAUAUGUGUGGCCCACUCACCAGGAACACAGCCCAUAUUAGAGCCCAGAUAAAUGACUACAAAGACCAGCCCAUAUUAGAGCCCAGAUAAAUGACUACAAAGGCCAGCCCAAGAUACCUUCCCAGCUCUUUAAAUCUUCAUAGAAGAUUAUUGAUAUCUCGAAUAUGCGAAGGCAUCUUGUGCAUAUCAUACAAACCCAACACAAUUCAGGUUUACAUCUUCAUAGUAACGUUUGAAUGAAAGUUCUUCGCUUGUCCCUCGCAGGAAUUCCCAGUGAGUUAAAUGACGAAGAUUCAAAGUUCGUUCCUCUAAAUGAAAAUGCUAAUGACUCAACAAACGAUACAUAUUUACUUCACUUCCAAAGGAAUAUUUUCCUGAACCAUGUAAGCAGCUGCAAUUGCUAUAAAAUAUUUUCAAGCUCUGUACAAGCAACAAAAGGUCGUGGGCACAGGUGAAAAAAUCUAGGAAGUCUUUAUACUGAUCUUCGCACUCCAUGAGUUACAAAUACAUAUUUCUUGACAAAAAAAAAAAGAGUAAAAAAACAAAUUUACUUCUAUCUCACAGUCAAUUCUCAUGUUUAACGUGACAAGUACAUAUUUCUUGGUUUCCUCUCUAGGCUUCAGCUCUUCUAACUUUGCAGCAAGAACGAACCACCCCCAACCUCUUGCCAGACAAGAAAGUUGGUAGAAAGCUCUAAGCAAAGAGCAGAAACCAUCAAUUCUCAUGUAUUUAAUAGCAGUCACAAAAAAAGGGGGAAGCUUUUUCUCCCGGCCAGCUAAAUGUCUUGGAAACUAAUGUUAUCAAAAUGAACAUCUAUCCAUGGAAUAUCAAGCGAGCGAAUGUCACAGCUGAUUCACCAGCAUUUCCCUCACAAUCCAAGAACAUCAAUCUCAAAACUAGUUUCAGUAACACUAACCAGCAUAAAGAUGCUCCUCCAUCAAAAAAACAGAACACAACUGUAAUCCACAAGUCAUAACGAAAAAACCUAAGACGCAACACAUGCCAUAUCAAUCAUAGAUGAACAAAUCGAAUCCUCUGUUUUUCACUAACACUAGCCAGUGUUCUUUUUAAACUCUGAGAAGAUAAUCUCCAGUAUCAGUAAUAACAUGCUAUAACCUCCUUCCCUCCCUCACCAAAACACAGUAACUGAAACAAAAAAACAGGAAGAUUACAUAUUAAUCAAACAUCAAAUCAAUUACACAAUCCAACAAACACCCAAUCUUCCAUUAAAACAAAUUAACAUAACCGAAAAACCCAAACUCAAACAAAGCAAAACAUGCCAAUCAUCAAAAGAACUGUACAACCAACUUAAAUGCAAACUCGAGCAAACCAAAACAAGCCCUAAUGACCAGAAGGAAGAGCAACACAUUCACUAAACAUCACAUCAAAAAUAUAUAGACAAAUCUUAGAAACUCAAAACUUAUUCCAAAUUUUUUCACCAACAUGAUCAAAACUCAUACUUUAAUAACAAGAAAAUCAACAUUACCUCCAAAAAGAAUCCCAGAAAUCACUCCUCUUCAUCACUCUCAUCACUGAAGUAACUAGCUUUCUUAACCUUCACCUUCUUUUUCUCCACCUCUCCCGCCUUCAACAACCUCUCCUCCACCCCUCCAUCCACCGCCGCAGCCCACUUCUCCUCCUCAAACUCACCCUCUUCUUCCUCCUCCUCCCAAUCUCCCCCGCCCCUUCCGCCGCCGCCGCCUCCACCACCGCCUCCCCUCCCUCUCUUCACCACAGGCCUCUCUCUAAUCCCCAAUCGAUUCCUCGGACACUCAUAACUCAAAUGUCCAUCUUCUCCACACUCAUAACACUUACUCUUAUCCUUAUAAACCCUCUUCUUAAUAAACUCCGCCGCUCUACCAUUAUCUGCCGCAAUCGACGCCGACAGAGUUCUCCCGUUGAGAAUCUUCUUGUCCAUCUGUUCAACGGCGGUGACCGCAUCGCUGCGAGAUACGAAUUGGAUGAAUGCGACGCCGCGCGAUUUCCGUGUCGUUCGGUCUUUUAAGACGGUUACACGUGCUACUUUGCCGAAGGUGGAGAAGAGUGUGUGGAGGUCUGAGUUUGUAAGGGCGAAGUCCAAAUUGGAUACGUACAGGGUUGAUUUUGAUGGUGCUAAACCGCCGGAUCUGCCAUGGGGUUUGGUGGAGGAAGGAGGGUGUUGUGAUGACGUGGUGGCGGAGGGGUAGCGGUGGUAAAAUAUUUCGUCUUCGUCACUGUCACUGUUGUGUUUUUGCUUCUUCUCCAUUUUUUUGACUUCCUAGCUGUUGUUAGUUUUUUCUUUUUUUGCUUUUGCCCUGUUGGUCUCGAGAAAUAUAUACUUUGCCUGGAGUGGGCUUUUUCUUGGAUUGUAAAUAUGAAAUCUACCCUACAAACUAAAAAAAAGUUGUCAAUACAUAUGAUAAAACACUUGUAUUAUACUUACUUCUACAAAAACACCAUGAAAUAAAUAAAUAAAUAAUUUACUACUUUGUUAAGAGAAAUGGGCAACCCAUCAAAAAUUCCAAUCUUAUCCUUUUGCUUUAACAACAGUUUUACACCUUACUCAUACCAGCAAGGCCCUUUAUUUUACUUUUGACUUUUGAUAAAGACUCAAUCCCUAAACCAGAUAUAUAUUAAUAAAAGAAAAGGAAAAAAAAUUAUUCAGCUAUCAUGCAAUUUUCUUUGACACAGUCAAAAUCUAACACUGCUAUUAUUUCCUAACCCGUAGAUGCAAUGAUCAACAAGGUUACUGAUACCCAAUAACUUGUACAGUAAUUAAUUUGAAACAUUACACACACAUGACGGCAUAAAGAAACAAGAGUUUAAUUUUUCUGAGUUGUUGAUGGAUAGGUUUAUCUUGUCACUCAUCAUGUUUUUUAAAAAAAAUUAAAGUAUAUCUUGUUUUGUUACUUUCUUCCUUUUCUUUUUGUUACUCAUCAUGUUUUUCUAAUAUUUUAUUAUGGAGGCAGAACUAAGAAUUUUAGGGGGGGUAUUGUUUUUUAUACAUAAAAAAAAUUAUAAAAGUGAAUUAAUUACUUUCACAUUUUCAAACCCUAAAAAACUUAAUUUAAUUUAAUUUACUAACACCCAUCCAAACCCCAACACAAAAAUUAUAAGAUAAAAUUCAUAAACACGAUGAAUAAGAAAUAUCUUAAGUUAUUGUUUGGUUGUGUAAUUACAUAUAACAAUAGCUUUUCUCCUUUGCGUGGUACUAUAUAAAAAAUUAAAGCGCUAACUAACAUAUAGCUGGAGAGAUACUCGUAGGGGAAAAAAAUAUCAUCCAGUAAUUUGUUUUCCUUUUGUAAUGGUCAACAAAUUUUUGGGGUAAGCUUGCAUUUCUAGUUUUUUUUUUUUUAGGGGGAUUUUUCAUUUUAUACAUUUCAACCACGCUUGAAUUUUUGCAUUCAGAGGACUUUUUCUCGUAUUUCUUUUGGAUUCAAAUCAAAUUAAUAACUCAAGAAACCAAAUGCAAUUAACUCUAAAACUUUUUUUAAGUACGAUAUAAUAGCAUUCAAAUCUUGUAAUUGCUAGCUCAAUUUAUUUGUUUGAAAUGUUAUGACCAAAAUAUGACUCAAAUUUCAGACUAGCUAUUGAAUUUGUUUCCAAAAAAAAAAAUCAAUUCAAUUGUAAAAUUAAAUAAAAAAUUAAAAUAUCUUAUUUAUUUUUGUAAUAUAUAUUUAUCAUUACAAGUUUAAUAUCAUUUUAAUAUUUGUCUAGAUAAUAAACUAGUGGUAUUCAAUUAUAUUAUUAUCAUCUCAAUGAAUUAUAAAAGAGUUUAUAAUGAUAAAAAAAUUUAAUUAAUAAUCUAGUAUUUUUUCGAGUAGUUUAAAUUAUCAAUCUUCAUAUAUAAAAAAGUUAAUUUAAAAAAAUAUUAUUAUGGAAGUAUGAUAAUUAUUAUUUUAAAAUAUUUUUUAAAAAUAUACUUAUUUUGAAAUAACAUUAAAUUAACAUGUUUUUGUCAAAGAAACAUAAAACUCUUGUUUUUUUAUGCCAUUAGCAGUGGUAAUAAACAGAAAGAUUGAUUAUCUGUUUUCAUUUUUACAUACGCCUUGCAAGAAAUAAAACACCAAAAGGUUCAAAUCUUCUGCAUAUUUUAAGCAAAGCUGCCAUCUGGCCUGGAUCAUCUUUUAAUCUACAAGAAAAGUUGGAAAGAUUGAGUUUCACCUAGCAAGUACCUGAAAUUGUAAUUGUUUUUCGCUUUCUUAGUCUUCAUGUAAGUGAUUUUCCUUCUUCCUUUUUGUUGCGAUGUGUUAUAAUUCGAUGUUAUGAGAACUGAUUUUUUCUUUUUUUGUGAUUUUCUUAAGUGGACUAGGAUUUAAAUGCCUUAUAUUUGGUUUAAAUUUGAUUUUCUUAUUGUCUGUGCACUGUUUCCUAGAAAAUGUUGUCUGGAAACUGUUCACUGAGAUGAUCAUGGGAUUUUAUUUUCUCAACUGAGAAUGAAUUGUAAUAUGCAAUUGAAUGCUAGGAAAACAUCAACUCUGCAGAAAUAAGUAAAUUAUUUGAUAAAGUAGUUGUUAAAUGGGAUGGGAAAAAAUUAAGUGAAGCGAGGGGGGAAGCAAUUGGAAAAUUGAUCUUCGAUGGUUAAAGAAUAUGUUAGAGAACAAUUUGCUAUUAUUGUAUAAUUUGUAUUAGUAGAUACUUAUUAUAAAGAUCAGCCAUUAAGUUGCGAAGAAUAUAAUGCAAAAGUGAAUUUUGGAAAUCUCUCUUAAGGUAGAACUUGCUGAUAAACUUUUACUUGUUUUGGUUUAUUUUUAGCUAAUAAUAAGAGUCAAAUUAUGUUGUCUGCAAGUCUUUAACUUUGACUUUAACAUACUAAUCCUUAGAAACUAAGUAAUAAUAAUCAACAAAUGUUAUACACAUACAUACAUGUGUGUGUGUGUAAUGUUUCAAAUUAAUUAUUGUAUAAGUUAUUGGGUAUCAGUAGCCUUGUUGAGCAUUGCAUUUACGGGUUAGGAAAUAAUAGCAGUGUUUGAUUUUGACUGUCAGAGAAAAUUGCAUGAUAGCUGAAUAAUUUUUUACUUUUCCUUUUAUUAAUAUCUAUCUGUUUUAGGGAUUGAGUCUUUAUCAAGAGCCAAAAGUAAAACAAAGGGCCUUGCUGGUAUGAGCAAGGUGUAAAACUGUUGUUAAAACAAAAGGAUUAAGAUUGAAAUUUUUGAUGGGUUGCUCAUUCCUCCUGACAAAGCAGUAAAUCGUUUAUUUAUUUAUUUAUUUCGUGGUGUUUUUGUAGAAGUAUAAUGCAAGUGUUUUACCAUGUGCAUUGACAACUUUUCUUCAAUUGGAGUUUUGGUUUGUAGGGUAGAUUUCAUAUUUACAAUCCAAGAAAAAACCCACUCCAGGCAAAGUAUAUAUCGAGACCAACAUGGCAAAAGCAAAAAAAAAAAAAAGAAAAAACUAACAACAACUAGGAAGUCAAAAAAAUGGGGAAGAAGCAAAAACACAACAGUGACAGUGACGAAGAAGAAAUAUUUUACCACCGCUACUCCUCCUCCACCACGUCAUCACAACACCCACCUUCCUCCACCAAACCCCAUGGUGGAUCUGGCGGUUUAGCAUCAUCAAAAUCAACCCUGUACGUAUCCAAUUUGGACUUCUCCCUUACAAACUCAAACCUCUACACACUCUUCUCCACCUUUGGCAAAGUAGCAUGUGUAACCGUCUUAAAAGACCGAACGACACGGAAAUCGCACGGCGUCGCAUUCAUCCAAUUCAUAACUCGCAGCGAUGCAGUCACCGCCGUUGAACAGAUGGACAAGAAGAUUCUCAACGGGAGAACUCUGUUGGCGUCGAUUGCAGCAGAUAAUGGUAGAGCGGCGAAGUUUAUUAAGAAGAGGGUUUAUAAGGAUAAGAGUAAGUGUUAUGAGUGUGGAGAAGAUGGACAUUUGAGUUACGAGUGUCCGAGGAAUCGAUUGGGGAUUAGAGAGAGGCCUGUGGUGAAGAGAGGGAGGGGAGGCGGUGGUGGAGGAGGUGGCAGCGGAAGGGGCGGGGGAGAUUGGGAGGAGGAGGAAGAAGAGGGUGAGUUUGAGGAGGAGAAGUGGGUUGUGGCGGUGGAUGGAGGGGUUGAGGAGAGGUUGUUGAAGGCGGGAGCGGUUGAGAAAAAGAAGGUGAAGGUUAAGAAAGCUAGUUACUUCAAUGAUGAGAGUGAUGAAGAGGAGUGAUUUCUAGGAUUCUUUUUGGAGGUAAUGUUGAUUUUCUUGUUAUUAAAGUAUGAGUUUUGAUCAUGUUGGUGAAAAAAUUUGGAAUAAGUUUUGAGUUCUAAGACUUGACUCUAUAUUUUUGAUGUGAUGUUUAGUGAAUGUGUUCUUCCUUCUGGUCAUUAGGCUUGUUUUGGCUUGCUUGAGUUUGCAUUUAAGUUGGUUGUACAGUUCCUAUGAUGAUUGGCAUGUUUUGCUUUGUUUGAGUUUGGGUUUUUCGGUUAUGUUAAUUUGUUUUAAUGGAAGUUGGGUGUUUGUUGGAUUGUGUAAUUAAUUUGAUGUUUGAUUAAUAUGUAAUCUUCCUGUUUUUUUGUUUCAGUUACCGUGUUUUGGUGAGGGAGGGAAGGAGGUUAUAGCAUGUUAUUACUGAUACUGGAGAUUAUCUUCUUAGAGUUUAAAAAGAACACUGGCUAGUGUUAGUGAAAAACAAAGGAUUCGAUUUGAUCAUCUGUGAUUGAUAUGGCAUUUGUUGCGUCUUAGGUUUUUUUGUUAUGACUUGUGGAUGACAGUUGUGUUUUGUUUUUUUGAUGGAGGAGCUUCUUUAUGCUGGUUAGUGCUACUGAAACUAGUUUUGAGAUUAAUGUUCUUGGAUUGUGAGGGAAAUGCUGGUGAAUCAGCUGUGACAUUUUCUCCCCUGAUAUUCCAUGGAUAGAUGUUCAUUUUGAUAACAUUAGUUUCCAAGACAUUUAGCAGGCGGGGAGAAAAAGUUUCCCCCUUUUUUUGUGAUUGCUAUUAAAUACAUGAGAAUUGAUGGUUUUUGCUCUUUGCUUAGAGCUUUCUACCAACUUUCUUGUCUGGCAAGAGGUUGGGGGUGGUUCGUUCUUGCUGCAAAGUUGGAUAGAUGUUCAUUUUGAUAACAUUAGUUUCCAAGACAUUUAGCAAGCGGGUAGAAAAAGUUUACCCUUUUUUUGCGACUGCUAUUAAAUACAUGAGAAUUGAUGGUUUCUGCUCUUUGCUUAAAGCUUUCUACCAACUUUCUUGUCUGGCAAAAGGUUGGGGGUGGUUCGUUCUUGCUGCAAAGUUGGAGGAGGUGGCGGUGGCGGUGGCGGAAGGGGCAAGGGAGAUUGGGAGGAGGAGGAGGAGGAGGAGGAGGGUGAGUUUGAGGAGGAGAAAUGGGUUGCGGCGGUGGAUGAAGGGGUGGAGAAAAAGAAGGUGAAGGUUAAGAAAGCUAGUUACUUCAGUGAUGAGAGUGAUGAAGAGGAGUGAUUUCUGGGAUUCUUUUUGGAGGUAAUGUUGAUUUUCUUGUUAUUAAAGUGAGUUUUGAUCAUGUUGGUGAAAAAAAUUGGAAUAAGUUUUGAGUUCUAAGAUUUGUCUCUAUAUUUUUUAUGUGAUGUUUAGUGAAUGUGUUGCUCUUCCUUCUGGUCAUUAGGGCUUGUUUUGGUUUGCUUGAGUUUGCAUUUAAGUUGGUUGUACAGUUCAGAUGAUGAUUGCCAUGUUUUGCUUUGUUUGAGUUUAGGUUUUUUGGUUAUGUUAAUUUGUUUUAAUGAAAGAUUGGGUGUUUGUUGGAUUGUGUAAUUGAUUUGAUGUUUGAUUAAUAUGUAAUCUUACUGUAUUUUUUUCAUCAAAGGCUCAUAUCAUCUUUAUUUUAUAAUUACAUGGAAGUUUCAUGUCAACAUAACUCCGUCAACUUCCGAUCUAAUAAUUCUACUCAAGAUUUUGAAUUAUAAAUAUGAAAUCUAUUCUACAAACCAAAACUCCAACUGAACAACAGUUGUCAAUGCACAUGGUAAAACACUUGCAUUAUACUUCUACAAAAACACCACAAAAUAAAUAAAUAAACGACUUACUGCUUUGUCAGGAGGAACGGGCAACCCAUCAAAAAUUCUCAUCUUAAUCCUUUUGCUUUAACAAUAGUUUUCCUAGCUCAUCCAGCAAGGCCCUUUGUUUUUCUUUUGGCUCUUGAUAAAGACUCAAUCCUUAAAACAAAUAGAUAUUAAUAAAAGGAAAAGAAAAAAAUCAUUCAGCUAUCAUGUAAUUUUCUCUGACACAGUCAAAAUCAAACACUGCUAUUAUUUCCUACAAAGUUGUCAAAAACGCUUUUUUGACACAACACGGAAUAUACAAUAUAAACUCGGAUCGUAAACUCAAAUCGUAAAAUCGCAAGUAAAAUAUUUUAACCAAAAUCGUAAAAUCGCAAGUAAAAUAUUUUAUCUAAUUUGCAAGAUCCAAUCAAGUAAUAUAUAAUAAUAUAACACAAUUAAAAUAAAAGUGAAAUUUAACUAAAUUGCAAGAUCUAGUCAUGUGGGUUAAAAUUGCUUCGUUUCUUUCCAGGUCACCGGUCUUUAUUCAGAUUCUAAAGAUGAACAAGUCCAAGUGGAUUGGAUAGAAAGAUGCUCUUAAUUAAUAACAUUUUGUUUUACCUGUUGAUAUAAUUAUGUAAAGCUGCACAUCACAAACUGCCUAACAUCAUCGUUCUAAUUGUUCAGUAAUUUUCAAUAGAAGUUUAGUCCUGAAAGUGUGUGACGGUUUUGCAUGAAACACAUAGCUAAACAACAAAGAAAUAUAAUCAUGAAACAACUGAUAAAAUGGGACCCUCUGAUUGUUUAGGAAUAUAAUCAGUAUCUUUGUUCUGUUUCCCAGUUUUUCAAAUAGCAUAUUGCUGGCUAGGGUCUGCAUCAUAUUUCUUGUUCCUCAGCUCGCCCAAUUAAAUUUUAUGUGAUGAAAGACUGUUGAGAAAUGACUGCUAAUUGGAUCAAAUUUCUGAUUUUUCUAUGCAGUGAUGAACUGGGUCGUUUUGUUGCUACUAAACAUCGCCUAAGAAGCCUUAAGAUGGAAGGGUGUUCUAAUCUGGGGGAAAAAUAUGCUUAUAUGCUUAUAGAGAAGACAACCCUAGCUAGUCAAAACACACACACACUGGUUUGAUUCUAGGUCAGCAGCAGCAGGAGCUUAAAUUGAACACGCAAACUAAAAGCUAUUGCUUUUGCUAUGCUAUGCUAUGUUAUCCAGUUAUCCUAGUGAUCAUCUUAUCAGUGUCAGCUAUAAAAAGGGAUCCAUGCAUCCAGCUGCUAAAAGCUUAUUUUGGAAUCUUUCUACCUUUCUGCUAAAUUACAUAACCCUGAUUAAGAAGGUAUAUACUAAUUAAUUAGAUAGCCAUGUCAGCUGGACUAGUUUCAUAUGAGAUUGUAUUUUGUAAUUAAAUCUUUCAUGCAAGAUUUCUAAAAACUGUUGUUGAAUAUAUGUGAUUGCAGGGAUGAUAACUUUUUCAUAUUCCUAAUUUUCCUCCUUUGUGCUAAACAGAUAAUUCAAUGGAAAGGGAUAAUGGAAUGUAGCAGAACGCAAGUUACUAAUGGGAUUUUUUAAAGAUUAUUUGUCAUAUAAAACAACAGAUAGAGACGAUUAACAACAACAUGUAUUUGCCAGAGAUGCUGGCGUGAUGUUUUACAAAUGAUAGGAGUCAUAUGACCAUUAACAACAACAACACUGUAUACAGCCAGAAAAAAAACAUGCCCUCUUCUGCAUAAUAAAAUGACAGAAAAGAUGAGAAUCUAACAAGCAAACCUGGUUAUAUAUUUGCGCUGCUAGUUAGUGGAGAGUCGAGACUUGAGAUUCUACGCUCCUGAAUGUGCUGAAUGCUGAUAUUAAUUUGUUAGGGCUGAGACUUGAGAUUUUGAGAAUUUGAGAUUUGGGGAAACCAGGAAAGGGGAAAGGGAAAAGGAGAAAAGGGUGGGUGGAGUGUCGGUGUCGGGCGCAAUGAAAUCAGGAGAUGGAGUGGAGUCAGCAGACUUUUAAUUUUCUAAGCAAACUCGUGCAAUCGGUCCG
rnacentral:lncRNA from 1 species